rnacentral:misc_RNA from 1 species
AAACAAUGGGGAGCACGGGACAUUUGUCAAACGGGAAACUAAAUCUCAAUUUAUUACGUGAUUAUUAUCGCCGAGAACUCUUGGAAUGUCUAGACAAAUGUCUAGGAUCAAAGGAGCAUGAGGUUGAAAAAAUGUUCCCUCUGUCCGACAAAGGACUCCCACCCAGUAACGUACAGAACAUUAUCUUUGUCACAAGACCGAAGUUACACCUGAUGGAACAGAUCGCCCAGAAUCUGCUACAAGAAGAACAUAAAGGGGGAUUCAGGAAGGAAUACCACAUCAUCUUUGUUCCAAGGAAGAGCCUACUUUGUGAGAAAAAACUAAAGGAAUCAGGGGUCUAUGGAACCCUACAUUACAUAGAGGAAUUCAAUUUGUCCAUGAUCCCAUUUGAUUCGGACCUCAUGUCUAUGGAAAUGGAAGGUGCUUUUAAGGAGUGCUAUUUAGAGAAUGACUACACCACCAUGUUUUAUGUGGCUCAGUCUUUGAUGACCCUACAGUUCCUGUAUGGAAUCAUUCCCAACAUUCAAGGGAAAGGCGACUGUGCUAAAAAUGUGGUAGACAUGAUGUUACGGAUGAGAAGAGAACUGGGAGGGAGGGAGCCCCAGAUUACCCCCCAGAUAGACAACCUCCUCAUCCUGGACAGGAAUGUCGACCUCUUGACCCCUCUGCUGUCUCAGCUGACCUAUGAUGGGCUGAUUGAUGAAAUAUUUGGAAUAAAUAACACCAGUGUGAAGCUUCCCCCGGAGAAGUUUGUUUCCAGUAGCCAGUCUCCGGAGGAUGCCCCGACAGAGAAGAAAAAAAUCAUCCUCAAUUCCUCGGAUGAGUUGUACGGAGAGCUACGUGACAAAAACUUCAAUGCUGUCGGAAGCCUGGUCAGCAAGAAAGCCAAGACGAUUACCGCAGAGUUUGAUGAAAGACAUGCUGCCAAAACAGUGAGUGAGAUGAAACAUUUUGUGUCCAAACUUCCUCAUUUACAGCAAAUGAGACAGUCCUUAUCUAUUCAUACAUCCAUUGCUGAGUUGAUUAAGGAACACACUGAUUCUGAGGAGUUUUUAGACUCUCUUCGCUGUCAACAAGAGUUUAUCAAUGGACUAGACACAGACAAAGUGAACACAUAUGUGGAGGAUUGUAUCGGCAAAAUGGAGCCUCUCGAUAAGGUCUUGAGGCUGAUAUGCAUUCAGUCUUAUUGCAACAAUGGACUCAAAACCAAAGUUCUGGAUUAUUAUAAAAGAGAAAUUAUACAGACAUAUGGAUAUGAGCACCUAGUCACUCUGAUGAAUCUUGAGAAGGCUGGCCUGCUUCGACAAUCCGGACAAAGACAUUAUCCGACCAUCCGUAAAUCUCUGAAGCUGAUCGUGGAUGAGGUCAAUGAACAGAACCCCAAUGACAUAUCGUAUGUGUACAGUGGCUACGCUCCCCUGUCUAUAAGGCUGGCCCAGUACCAUGCCCGCCCGGGCUGGAGAAGCAUCACAGAGGUCCUCAACCUGUUGCCUGGGCCUACCAUCGAAGAAAUCCAACAGAUUCCUGUUGCUCUCAGAAAAAGACGGUCCUCCAUCACUUCCUCACAUUCCAGCGUCAUGGACCAGAAGGUGACCUUGGUCGUGUUCCUGGGUGGGGUGACCUUCGCAGAAAUCGCAGCUCUCCGGUUUUUAGCUCAGCAGGAUGAUGCUGGUGCUGAAUAUGUUGUAUUUGCUACAAAAGUUAUAACGGGACAAUCACUAGUGAACUCUUUGACAGGAGUCCAUACUUAGCAGUCCGUCUUACUAACACUUCGCAUGUUUGGGGGAACAGAUUAUGUGAUAGCUACAACAAAGAUUAUCAGUGGCUCAACCUUACUGGAUUCUGUGAUGGAAAAACUAUCACCAGUUCAUUUGAACCCAUUCUAAAUCCACUGCCUUGUGAAAGGGACCAAAAGUGCAAUAUGUGUUAAGACAGUGUGUUUAUAUUGCGUUGUAGAACAAAUUGUUUAAUAAGUUUAUAGCUGCUGUAUUACAAUGGGAUGUCAGUUAUGUAUUAUAUCUGAAAGAUAUUUUUUGAUAUCAAAUUUGAUAUCAAGUAUUCUUUUCAGAAAUAAAAGAAAUCAAUAAC